rnacentral:rRNA from 1 species
GGACGAACGCUGGCGGCGUGCCUAAUACAUGCAAGUCGAACGGUCUUUCUAUGGAAGCUUGCUUCCACUGAGAAGAUAGUGGCGAACGGGUGAGUAACACGUGGGUAACCUGCCCAUAAGAGGGGGAUAACAUCCGGAAACGGGUGCUAAUACCGCAUAGUUUUCUUGAUCGCAUGAUUGAGAAAGGAAAGACGGCCUUUGUGCUGUCGCUUAUGGAUGGACCCGCGGCGUAUUAGUUAGUUGGUGAGGUAACGGCUCACCAAGACGAUGAUACGUAGCCGACCUGAGAGGGUGAUCGGCCACAUUGGGACUGAGACACGGCCCAAACUCCUACGGGAGGCAGCAGUAGGGAAUCUUCCGCAAUGGACGAAAGUCUGACGGGGGCAACGCCGCGUGAGUGAAGAAAGGUUUUCGGAUCGUAAAACUCUGUUGUCAGAGAAGAACAAGUUGGAGAGUAACUGCUCCAGCCUUGACGGUAUCUGACCAGAAAGCCACGGCUAACUACGUGCCAGCCGCCGC